UGAAUACGAGAUGCUACGGCGUCGAAGCAGUCUAUGUCAUACUUCCAAGAAAAGCUCGCACUGUCAUAAACAAAUAAUGCCUGUACCAUAACCGACACAGGUGGGUAGGUAGAGUAUACUAAGGGGCGCGAGAUAACUCUCUCUAAGGAACUCGGCAAAAUGACUCCGUAAUUUCGGGAGAAGGAGUGCCUUAUUUAUAAGGUUGCAAUAACAAGAUCCAAGCAACUGUCUAUCAAAAACACAGGUCUCCGCUAAGUCGUAAGACGAUGUAUGGGGGCUGACGCCUGCCCAGUGCCAGAAGGUUAAAGAAGUUGGUUAGCAUUCGCGAAGCUGAUAACUGAAGCCCUGGUGAACGGCCGCCGUAACGAUAACGGUCCUAAGGUAGCGAAAUUCCUUGUCGGGUAAGUUCCGACCCGCACGAAAGGCGUAAUGAUUUGGAUACUGUCUCGGAGAGGGGCUCGGUGAAAUAGACUUGUCUGUGAAGAUGCGGACUACCUGCACCAGGACAGAAAGACCCUAUGAAGCCUUACUGUAACUUGAGAUUGAAAUUGGACUUUACUUGCGCAGUAUAGGUGGGAGGCGUUGAUAAUAUUCUUGCGGGAUUAUUUGAGCCAUCAGUGAGAUACCACUCUUGUAAUGUUAGAUUCUAACUUUGUAUCAUUAUCUGGUCAAAGGACAGUUUCAGGCGGGCAGUUUGACUGGGGCGGUUGCCUCCUAAACGGUAACGGAGGCGCACAAAGGUUUCCUCUGAACGGGUAGAAAUCGUAUCUAGAGUGUAAAGGCAUAAGGAAGCUUGACUGUGAGACCUACAAGUCGAGCAGGGACGAAAGUCGGUCUUAGUGAUCUGACGGUGCUGAGUGGAAAGGCCGUCACUCAACGGAUAAAAGUUACUCUAAGGAUAACAGGCUGAUCUCCCCCAAGAGUUCACAUCGACGGGGAGGUUUGGCACCUCGAUGUCGGCUCAUCGCAUCCUGGGGCGGUAGUACGUCCCAAGGGUUGGGCUGUUCGCCCAUGAAAGCGGUACGCGAGCUGGGUUCAGAACGUCGUGAGACAGUUCGGUCCAUAUCCGGUGUAGGCGUUAGAAUAUUGAGAGGAGCCUUCUUUAGUACGAGAGGACCGAGAAGGACAUACCUCUGGUGUACCAGUUAUCGUGCCAACGGUAAACGCUGGGUAGCUAUGUAUGGAGUGGAUAACCGCUGAAAGCAUCUAAGUGGGAAGCCCACCCCAAGAUAAGUAUUCCC
rnacentral:rRNA from 1 species